GGUACUUUGGCCGAGCGGUCUAAGGCGCCGUGUUCAGGUUCUCCGGAAAUCCUCUCGCGGUCUAGAAAUAGGCGUGGGUUCGAAUCCCACAGGUAUCA
rnacentral:tRNA from 1 species